rnacentral:rRNA from 1 species
CCUACGGGAGGCAGCAGUGAGGAAUAUUGGUCAAUGGACGAGAGUCUGAACCAGCCAAGUAGCGUGAAGGAUGACUGCCCUAUGGGUUGUAAACUUCUUUUAUAUGGGAAUAAAACGUUCCACGUGUGGGAUUUUGUAUGUACCAUAUGAAUAAUGAUCGGCUAACUCCGUGCCAGCAGCCGCGGUAAUACGGAGGAUCCGAGCGUUAUCCGGAUUUAUUGGGUUUAAAGGGAGCGUAGGUGGAUUGUUAAGUCAGUUGUGAAAGUUUGCGGCUCAACCGUAAAAUUGCAGUUGAAACUGGCAGUCUUGAGUACAGUAGAGGUGGGCGGAAUUCGUGGUGUAGCGGUGAAAUGCUUAGAUAUCACGAAGAACUCCGAUUGCGAAGGCAGUUCACUGGACUGCAACUGACACUGAGGCUCGAAAGUGUGGGUAUCAAACAGGAUUAGAUACCCGUGUAGUC